GACGUAGGGCGCGAGCGUUGUCCGGAUUUAUUGGGCGUAAAGAGCUCGUAGGCGGUCUGUUGCGUCGGCUGUGAAAACCCGGGGCUCAACCCCGGGCCUGCAGCCGAUACGGGCAGGCUCGAGUUCGGUAGGGGAGACUGGAAUUCCUGGUGUAGCGGUGAAAUGCGCAGAUAUCAGGAGGAACACCGGUGGCGAAGGCGGGUCUCUGGGCCGAUACUGACGCUGAGGAGCGAAAGCGUGGGGAGCGAACAGG
rnacentral:rRNA from 1 species